UGCUCACGGUUUCUGUCCAUUUUCAUUAUAAUUGACAGUGCCCGUAGCUGUCAAAUGUAUACACAGUCUCAUCGAAUCGAAUCCAACUGUGUUUGCAAACAGAUACGAUGACAAUUGACUAUAACUGUUGUCAGGUGAGUCAUAUUUGACAGCCAGCUAUUACUUACAAAUAUGUAGUUUUGCUGCUUUUCGCUCGUUGGUAACUGUUCCCAAAUUUCGGACUGUUGCAACACAAUUAAUGCUUUUAUCUUCGACGCUUUCAAGGCCUUCGCUUGUUAUUUCGUCACAGCGAGAAGCAAAACAUCAUGGCGAAAGAAGCGCAAUGAGGAGCAGCAGGUAGCUGUUCAGAGCAUUUACCUUCAGUAUUUGGACAGGUUCUUGAAUAGUGGUUGAUCAGGAAGAACACAUGCUGUAGCAAUAGGAAUAAAUUCCAUUGUCACAAUACUCAGCUAAGGAGAAAACAUUGAGGGGGUGGUUCAACCUCAUAAUUUAGAGUACCUUGGCUAUUUCCUUGACCAACACUCAGAAACUUACAUUAAUAAUGGCACCGAGAAAUAAGGAGAACAACGGUGGACACAAAAAAGAUGGCAAGGGUAGAAGGAAAA